GGGGGGGGCAAGCGUUGUUCGGAAUUACUGGGCGUAAAGGGCCAGUAGGCGGCCAACUAAGUCCGACGUGAAAUCCCCAGGCUUAACCUGGGAACUGCGUCGGAUACUGGAUGGCUUGAAUUCGGGAGAGGGAUGCAGAAUUCCAGGUGUAGCGGUGAAAUGCGUAGAUAUCUGGAGGAAUACCGGUGGCGAAGGCGGCAUCCUGGACCGACAUUGACGCUGAACGGCGAAAGCUAGGGGAGCAAACGGGAUUAGAUACCCUGGUAGUCCACGCUGUAAACGAUGAGCACUAGGUGUCGUGGGUAUUGACCCCCGCGGUGCCGCAGCUAACACAUUAAGUGCUCCGCCUGGGGACUACGGCCGCAAGGUUA
rnacentral:rRNA from 1 species